rnacentral:lncRNA from 1 species
CGCGAGCCUACAGACGCCAAGCUCCUAGGAGGCACGGAGUAAGGGCCGUCGCCAUCUGACCCUAACCUCGUCCGGUUGCUUCCGCUGGCCCGGGUCCAGCCUCGGUGGCUAGAGCGUCGCGGGACGUUGGGCGCGCGCUGCGGACAGCCCCAGAGCCCGCCGCUCGCGCCUGACGCCUCAAGAUCCUGCCUGUGACCCACACAGAGAUCUCACCAGAACAGCAGUUUGACAAAAGUAUACAGAAACUUCUAGCAACUAGGAUUGCUGUCUACCUCAUGACAUUUCUAAUCGUAACUGUGGCCUGGGCAGCACAUACCAGAUUGUUCCAGGUUGUUGGAAAAAUAGAUGAUACACUUGCCUUGCUCAACCUGGCCUGUAUGAUGACCAUCACCCUUCUGCCCUACACAUUUUCGCUAAUGGUAACAUUCCCUGAUGUGCCCCUGGGCAUCUUCCUGUUCUGCAUGUGUGUGAUUGCCAUUGGAUCUGUGCAGGCAAUGAUCGUGGGUUAUGCCUUCCACUUCCCACAUCUGCUGAAUCCACAAAUCCAGUGCUCUACACAUAGGGCCCUGUCCCGGCGGCACAUUCUGCACCUAGUCCUCCGUGGCCCAGCACUCUGUUUUGUUGCAGCUGUCUUUUCCCUCUUCUUCUUCCCCUUGUCAUACCUGCUGAUGGUGACUGUCAUCUUCCUCCCUCACAUCAGCAAGGCUACCACCUGGUGUAAAGACAAGUUUAUGGGCCACAGGGAGUCUCCAGCUCACAAUGUAGAGCCCUUCAGUAUUGACCUGCAUGCGCCCCUCAGCAAAGAACGGGUGGAAGCUUUCAGUGACGGUGUCUAUGCCAUUGUGGCCACACUCCUCAUCUUGGACAUCUGGUGAGAACCCCAACUUGCUGCUUUGGCCCAUCUUCCAGUGAGGACAAUGUUCCGGAUCCCAAGGAUGUGCAACAGAAGUUCAGUGGCAGCCUUGUGGCUGCCCUGGGUGCAUAUGGGCCACAGUUCCUGGCAUACUUCGGCUCCUUCGCCACAGUGGGUCUGCUCUGGUUUGCCCACCACUCACUCUUCCUGCAUGUCCGGAAGGCUACACAGACCAUGGGGUUGUUCAACAUACUGUCACUGGCCUUUGUGGGGGGCCUCCCUCUGGCCUACCAGCAGACCUCGGCGUUUGCCCGGCAACCCCGUGAUGAACUUGAGCGUGUGCGUGUCAGCUGUGCCAUCAUCUUCUUUGCCAGCAUCUUCCAGUUUGCCAUCUGGACUACAGCCCUGCUGCACCAGAGAGAAACACUGCAGCCAGCUGUGCAGUUUGGUGGGCAGGAACAUGCUUUCAUGUUUGCCAAGCUCGCACUGUACCCCUGUGCCAGCCUGCUGGCCUUUGCCGCCACCUGCCUACUGAGUCGGUUCAGCACAGCCAUCUUCCACCUCAUGCAGAUUGCAGUGCCCUUUGCGUUCCUGUUGCUCCGGCUCCUGGUACGCCUUGCCCUGGCAGGCCUUCAAGUCCUAUGGGACCUCUGGCCAGAGCGUCCCCAACAAGACCAGGGUGAACCCGAGACACAGUCCCAGCUCUUGCCUGCCUCCUGCUAAUGCCAAGAAAGCCACUCCUGCCUAUCGUAGUCAUACUGCAAAGGGUCUUGUGGAGAUGUCUUAGUACAAGUUUAUCGCGAC